ACACGUCCCUAGCAGGGGAGAUACCAUGGUUAUGAAAGUGGUUUUCUUAAGAUGAAGCUCAUUUAUUGAACUCAGGAUGUGCUGUCCCCUGUGAUUUCCUCAAAUAUGGAAAACUUGACUGCAUAAUUUGUGGAAAUAUGUGUUCUUUUCCCCAAA